rnacentral:rRNA from 1 species
AUUGAACGCUGGCGGCAUGCCUUACACAUGCAAGUCGAACGGCAGCACGGGGCAACCUGGUGGCGAGUGGCGAACGGGUGAGUAAUGCAUCGGAACGUGCCAUUGAGUGGGGGAUAACGUAGCGAAAGUUGCGCUAAUACCGCAUAUUCUGUGAGCAGGAAAGCAGGGGACCGCAAGGCCUUGCGCUCUUUGAGCGGCCGAUGUCAGAUUAGCUAGUUGGUGAGGUAACGGCUUACCAAGGCGACGAUCUGUAGCGGGUCUGAGAGGAUGAUCCGCCACACUGGAACUGAGACACGGUCCAGACUCCUACGGGAGGCAGCAGUGGGGAAUUUUGGGACAAUGGGCGCAAGCCUGAUCCAGCCAUGCCGCGUGAGUGAAGAAGGCC